rnacentral:rRNA from 1 species
UACGUAGGAUGCAAGCGUUGUCCGGAAUUACUGGGCGUAAAGGGCGAGCAGGUGGCACUACAAGUCUGAUGUAAAAUCUCCCGGCUUAACUGGGAGGGGCCAUUGGAAACUGUAGAGCUGGAGUGCAGGAGAGGCUAACGGAAUUCCCGGUGUAGUGGUGAAAUGCGUAGAUAUCGGGAAGAACACCGGUGGCGAAGGCGCUCUGCUAGGCCGCAACUGACACUGAGGGACGAAAGCUAGGGGAGCGAAUGAG